UGGCUCAGGAUGAACGCUAGCUACAGGCUUAACACAUGCAAGUCGAGGGGUAACAGGAGAGAAGCUUGCUUUCUGCUGACGACCGGCGCGCGGGUGAGUAACGCGUAUCCAACCUUCCCCUUAGUAGCGGAUAGCCCGGCGAAAGUCGGAUUAAUACGCUAUGUUCUUCGUUGAUGGCAUCUGAUGUGAAGCAAAGAUUUAUCGCUAAGGGAUGGGGAUGCGUCUGAUUAGGUAGUCGGCGGGGUAACGGCCCACCGAGCCAUCGAUCAGUAGGGGUUCUGAGAGGAACGGUCCCCCACACUGGUACUGAGACACGGACCAGACUCCUACGGGAGGCAGCAGUGAGGAAUAUUGGUCAAUGGGCGCGAGCCUGAACCAGCCAAGUAGCGUGCAGGAAAAGACUCGCCCUAGUGGGUUAGUAAACUGUCUUUUAUCAGGGAAUAAAGUGAGGCACGUGUGCCUUUUUGUAUGUACCUGAUGAAUAAGGACCGGCUAAUUCCGUGCCAGCAGCUGC
rnacentral:rRNA from 1 species